rnacentral:rRNA from 1 species
UCAAGCGAAUAAGCGCACACGGUGGAUGCCUAGGCGGUCAGAGGCGAUGAAGGACGUGGUAGCCUGCGAAAAGUGUCGGGGAGCUGGCAACAAGCUUUGAUCCGGCAAUAUCCGAAUGGGGAAACCCACUGCUUCGGCAGUAUCCUGCAGUGAAUUCAUAGCUGCUGGAAGCGAACCCGGUGAACUGAAAUAUCUAAGUAACCGGAGGAAAAGAAAUCAACCGAGAUUCCCUAAGUAGUGACGAGCGAACGGGGAGCAGCCCUUAAGCUGGAAUGGCUUUAGAAAAACAAUCUGGAAAGAUUGGCCAUAGAAGGUGAUAGCCCUGUAUUUAAAAGGGCCACUCCAGUGAAGACGAGUAGGGCGGGGCACGUGAAACCCUGUCUGAAUAUGGGGGGACCAUCCUCCAAGGCUAAAUACUCCUGACCGACCGAUAGUGAACCAGUACCGUGAGGGAAAGGCGAAAAGAACCCCGGAGAGGGGAGUGAAAUAGAUCCUGAAACCGUGUGCGUACAAGCAGUAGGAGCUCGCAAGAGUGACUGCGUACCUUUUGUAUAAUGGGUCAGCGACUUACUGUUCGUGGCAAGCUUAACCGUAUAGGGGAGGCGAAGGGAAACCGAGUCUGAUAAGGGCGCAUAGUCGCGGGCAGUAGACCCGAAACCGGGUGAUCUAGUCAUGGCCAGGGUGAAGGUGCCGUAACAGGUACUGGAGGCCCGAACCCACGUCUGUUGCAAAAGACGGGGAUGAGCUGUGAUUAGGAGUGAAAAGCUAAUCGAACCCGGAGAUAGCUGGUUCUCCUCGAAAGCUAUUUAGGUAGCGCCUCGGACGAAUACUACUGGGGGUAGAGCACUGUUAUGGCUAGGGGGUCAUCGCGACUUACCAAACCAUUGCAAACUCCGAAUACCAGUACGUACUAUCCGGGAGACACACGGCGGGUGCUAACGUCCGUCGUGAAAAGGGAAACAACCCAGACCCACAGCUAAGGUCCCAAAUUCACUGCUAAGUGGAAAACGAUGUGGAAAGGCAUAGACAGCCAGGAGGUUGGCUUAGAAGCAGCCACCCUUUAAAGAAAGCGUAAUAGCUCACUGGUCGAGUCGGUCUGCGCGGAAGAUUUAACGGGGCUAAGCAGUGAACCGAAGCUUGGGGUGCAUAAAACUUGUUUUAUGCGCGGUAGAGGAGCGUUCCGUAAGCCUGCGAAGGUGGAUUGAGAAGUCUGCUGGAGGUAUCGGAAGUGCGAAUGCUGACAUGAGUAACGAUAAUGCGGGUGAAAAGCCCGCACGCCGAAAGCCCAAGGUUUCCUUGCGCAACGUUAAUCGACGCAGGGUUAGUCGGUCCCUAAGGCGAGGGCGAAAGCCGUAGUCGAUGGGAAGCAGGUUAAUAUUCCUGCACCUCGCGUGAGUGCGAUGGAGGGACGGAGAAGGUUAGGUGUACCGGGCGUUGGUUGUCCCGGGGAAAGGCGGUAGGUUUGGAUCUUUGGCAAAUCCGGGAUCCUUUAAGACCGAGCACCGAGACGAGCCUUUAUGGCGAAGUCACUGAUACCACGCUUCCAGGAAAAGCUCCUAAGCUUCAGCUCACGAAGACCGUACCGUAAACCGACACAGGUGGGUAGGAUGAGAAUUCUCAGGCGCUUGAGAGAACUCGGGUGAAGGAACUAGGCAACAUGGCACCGUAACUUCGGGAGAAGGUGCACCCUUUUUGGUGGCUCAUGCGAGCUAUAGCUGAAGAGGGUCGCAGAAACCAGGCCGCUGCGACUGUUUAUCAAAAACACAGCACUCUGCAAACACGAAAGUGGACGUAUAGGGUGUGACGCCUGCCCGGUGCUGGAAGGUUAAUUGAUGGGGUCAGCCGCAAGGCGAAGCUCUUGAUCGAAGCCCCAGUAAACGGCGGCCGUAACUAUAACGGUCCUAAGGUAGCGAAAUUCCUUGUCGGGUAAGUUCCGACCUGCACGAAUGGCGUAACGACAGCGGCGCUGUCUCCACCCGAGACUCAGUGAAAUUGAAAUCGCUGUGAAGAUGCAGCGUUCCCGUGGCAAGACGGAAAGACCCCGUGAACCUUUACUAUAGCUUUACACUGAACGUUGAGUUCGUCUGUGUAGGAUAGGUGGGAGGCUAUGAAACUGUGGCGCUAGCUGCAGUGGAGCCAUCCUUGAAAUACCACCCUGUCGUGCUUGACGUUCUAACCUAGAUCCGUUAUCCGGAUCAGGGACCGUGUAUGGUGGGUAGUUUGACUGGGGCGGUCUCCUCCUAAAGAGUAACGGAGGAGCACGAAGGUACGCUCAGCGCGGUCGGACAUCGCGCACUGUGUGCAAAGGCAUAAGCGUGCUUGACUGCAAGAUCGACGGAUCAAGCAGGUACGAAAGUAGGUCUUAGUGAUCCGGUGGUUCUGUAUGGAAGGGCCAUCGCUCAACGGAUAAAAGGUACUCCGGGGAUAACAGGCUGAUACCGCCCAAGAGUUCAUAUCGACGGCGGUGUUUGGCACCUCGAUGUCGGCUCAUCACAUCCUGGGGCUGUAGUCGGUCCCAAGGGUAUGGCUGUUCGCCAUUUAAAGUGGUACGCGAGCUGGGUUCAGAACGUCGUGAGACAGUUCGGUCCCUAUCUGCCAUGGGCGUUGGAAGUUUGAGAGGGGCUGCUCCUAGUACGAGAGGACCGGAGUGGACGAACCUCUGGUGUUCCGGUUGUCACGCCAGUGGCAUUGCCGGGUAGCUAUGUUCGGAAGCGAUAACCGCUGAAAGCAUCUAAGCGGGAAGCGCGCCUCAAGAUGAGACUUCCCGGGGCACAAGCCCCCUAAAGGAACCAUAUAGACUAUGUGGUUGAUAGGUCAGGUGUGUAAGUACAGCAAUGUAUUGAGCUAACUGAUACUAAUGAUCCGUGCGGCUUGACCAU